rnacentral:rRNA from 1 species
CUGCAUGGCUGUCGUCAGCUCGUGUCGUGAGUAUGUUGGGUUAAGUCCCGCAACGAGCGCAACCCUUGUCAUUAGUUUGCUACGAAAGGGCACUCUAAUGAGACUGCCGGUGACAAACCGGAGGAAGGUGGGGGAUGACGUCAAGUCCUCAUGGCCCUUAUGGGUAGGGCUUCACACGUCAUACAGUGGUACAUACAGAGGGCUGCCAACCCGCGAGGGGGAGCUAAUCCCAGAAAGUGUAUCGUAGUCCGGAUUGAAGUCUGCAACUCGACUUCAUGAAGUUGGAAUCGCUAGUAAUCGCGGAUCAGCAUGUCGCGGUGAAUACGUUCCCGGGUCUU